CCACAUUCCUGGAAGACAACUUCACAUCUUCUCUUGCCUUAAACUCUCGAUGCCACAUUCCUCACCCUCACCAUCAGGAGAUGGUAUCACUUCCUAAUUCGCUGAGAAGACCUGGGGAACCACAGGUGUUCUCAACACCGCAUCACCGUCUCCAGGACGUACCUCCCAGACCCUGGGAGCCAGAAGGCCAGUGGAAUCCACAUUCGAAGGACAGGGGAGGGGGUGAGGAGCCUCCAAGUGCCCCCGUCCAGCUCUCAGAAGGUAACAGAAUAGGAAUUUCCAAAUGGCACAUUUGAGGAGCUGACUGGAGCAGCCUUCGGAACAGUUUCUCCCUUGUAAGAGCAAACACUCGGAAAGUC